rnacentral:lncRNA from 1 species
CAGCUCAUGCCUCCCGGCGGCCUUCCCGGCCUCCUGCCUCCCGAAGGCCUGCACGGGCCCAGCCUCAGCCUCACAGCGGACUCUCCACGCCCAGCUAGCUCUCGCCUCACUGCGGCCUCCCCAGUCGAAAGCUCCUGCCUUUCGGCCGCUUUGGCAGGCCCAGCUCCUGCCUGCCAGUGGCCUCUUUAGGCCCAGCUCAUUCCUCACAACGGCCUUUCCAGGCCCCGUUUUUCCCUUCCGGCAGCCUUUUGGCCUCUAAUUUGUUUAUCUUUUGUGUAUAAAUCCCAAAAUAUGGAAUUUUGGAAUAUUGCUACCAUUAUAUAAAUAUUUUCGUAUGUAAUUUAUUUGGAGUGAGUUUCUGCACCAAGCCUGAAUUUUUUAUUUUAUUUUCCUUAUUAUUUGGUGUUAAACAGGUUUAAUGACGGUCAUGGCAACUUUUUGGCACAAUGAAAAAUACCACCCA